UACGUAGGGGGCAAGCGUUGUCCGGAUUUAUUGGGCGUAAAGAGCGUGUAGGCGGCCUGAAAGGUCAGCUGUGAAAACUCGAGGCUCAACCUCGAGACGUCGGUUGAAACCAUCUGGCUAGAGUCCGGAAGAGGAGCGUGGAAUUCCCGGUGUAGAGGUGAAAUUCGUAGAUAUCGGGAGGAACACCAGUGGCGAAGGCGGAGACCUGGGGAGAUAUUGACGCUGAGGUGCGAAAGCGUGGGGAGCAAACAGG
rnacentral:rRNA from 1 species